rnacentral:rRNA from 1 species
AACGAACGUUGGCGGCGUGCCUAACACAUGCAAGUCGAGGGAGAAGCUAGGUGCUUGCACUUAGUGGAGACCGGCGCACGGGUGAGUAACACGUGGUAACCUGCCCUAGAGUUUGGGAUAACAGUUGGAAACGACUGCUAACACCGAAUAAGCCCCCGGAGAGGUAGCUCUCAGAGGGAAAAGUUUACGCUCUAGGAUGGGCCCGCGGUCCGUUAGAUAGUUGGUGGGGUAAUGGCCUACCAAGUCAAAGAUGGAUAGCUGGUUUGAGAGAAUGACCAGCCACACUGGGACUGAGACACGGCCCAG